GCUGGAGGUCAAAGAAGGGGUGCGUGGGAAUGUGUCGGGAACAUGUGGAGACAGAAGAAGGGGCACACAGGGAGCAGGCCCGUUUGGAUGAGGGUAGGAGUGGGUGAGGGGCUAGAGCUGGAGAACUGUGGUGCACCCGGGCAUGUUCGGACGUGGGAGGACAGAAGACUGGCUGCAUCCCAGCUUUCCGCCUCCUCUUUUCCGAGAAGUGACAGUGACUGCCUGCUGGCAGCCUCUCAAGAGAACCAGUGACAGGAGAAGAAGAAAGGCCACUUGUGGCUGGGUCUCUGUCCUGAGCACUAAAGAAUUAAAAGGCAAAAAUCUGAAUCGCAACAGGCAGCAGCAGAAAAAUCUCAACCACUGUGGAAGAGUCAUCAGUUGAAAGAAGGCACUUGUUGGGGUGAAUAAACAUUGACAUGGAAUAAGGCACAAAGAUAAAAGACCCUCCUCAAAGUGGGGUGUGGAGGGGAGGCGGGGGAGACCAGUGCCUUCUGGAGUGCAGGGGGUUUAAAGCCCUUGAAGAGUUCACUUCCCUACC
rnacentral:lncRNA from 1 species